AUUUUAAAUUGAGGAGAAAUACACAUUUUGAAAGAACAUCUGCCAAGAUUGUUGCUAUGUCUCUGUCUACAUUCUUCUCAGAGAUUCAAGAGUUGGUGACUUGAUGAUGACGUGAUGACAUGACAAAUGGAAGAUUUUCCCCACCACUCUUUGUUUUAAAGAAAAAUGACAAGAGUCCAAGUUCCGGGUUCAUGUGCUGCUCUGACAAGAUCCAUUGUGACACUGGGAACACCCUAACAUGAACUGUUUUCUCAGGAAACAGGCCAACUGCUUUGAUCUCAAGUGGACAAAUCAGAAAGGCAGUUUUUCACCAGUUCAAUGGGAAGAUGACCUCUGCUCCUACCGUGAGAGGAUAUCGACAGAAUGAGUGUAUGGGAGUUCUGAGCUUUUGGACACCUGGAUUUGACGGUUGAUCUUCAAAUAUCCACUGCUUCAAAAUCAGUCUAGGAAUCUUGUUUACAUCACAAGCACCAGACUCCCUUUCAGCAUGAUGAUGCCCUUAAACUCAGUUCCUUACAGGUGGGUUUCCUGAGAGCAUUCCUCAGUAAGCUUUCCAGCUGCAUCUCCAUUGUAGUAUCCGUGUCGAACAAACCCAAGCCAAAACAGGACUUGAAAGUGAUUUUGAG